ensembl:lncRNA
UGUGUACUGUACAUUAUAAUAUACAUAUGUAACAAUAGCAUUAUAUGCUUUAAAAAUAUGACACUCAUGUAUAUUUCUUCUGCAGUGCGAUAAGAGCAACAUGCCAGGGUGAAGGCAAGGGUGAAGGCAAGGGUGAAGGCAAGGGUGAAGGCAAGGGAAAAGGACCAGGACAAGGGCAAGGUCAAGGCAAGGGUCAGGGUCAUGGUCACGGACACGGUCACGGACCUGGAAAGGAUGGAAAGGAUGGCAAAGGCAAACCAUAAUGAAAGGAGCUGAAUGAAGAGACGUCUGAAGUCUGUCUGAUGCUGUUGUUUUUUUUCUUGCACCAUGACUAAUAAACUAAAACAUGUAUAAUUAUACCACAUAUGUUUGUUUUUAAUUAAAUGAUCAUCAAUAAAGUGUUUGGUAUCAAAGAAUGGCUUUUAGAAUCGUUGACUCCUUAAGCUUUGAAAUUCCAAAUAUAAAACGAAAUGAAGUAGCUGUGGCAAG